rnacentral:lncRNA from 1 species
GAAGAGAUGAUGACACCAACAAUGUGUCCCUCUGUCUGAAAGACAUAAUUGCUUGACGGAAGAACAGUCUGUUCGACUCCUGGGUGUGAUGGAAGUGAUGCUGAGGCUGUGCUGGAGGUUGCACCUUUUCCUGUCAGAUAUGGACUUUGCUACCAUGAUUCGAGGCUUGUUUAUCACUGGAUUACUUCAGACUGUUCUGCUUGGGUUUGUCAGCUGAGAAGCAUAGAGACAUCAGAUGUUAAAGUUUGAAGAAAAUUCUAAGCAACAUAAGGAAGGGUGCAACCUGUUGUUUAGAUGUGUCAACAUAUGGCAUUGAAAUAUCUUCAAGGACAUGGUCACUGUCUCCAAAUAGUGGGCUGCAUAAGACUACAAAGUAGUGGAUUAGCAUGAGGGGAAGAUGGUUACUACUUGUGAGUAAGCCUUUCUUUUUGUUCCACAAUAUAUUUAUGGUGCUAUAAAUAUAGCUAAAUAAGAGCUGUGUCCCCUAUUUUAAGUCACAACAUGCACUUAUGGAUCUAUGCCCUUGUUGAUCCUUAUGAAGGAAAAAUGUUUCUUUGUAAACAACGUGGCUACUGUGAUGAAUUGUUAGGAUUUAUAUAAAUACAUAUGUAAUGAAAAGAGAAUGUUAAAAUUCAAAUAAAUGUAUUUUCAUUGUUUCUAAUAUGUAAUUUUAACUUUUUUACCAUGCUGGAAAGAAUGAGAGUUUUUAGAUUCACGUUAUGAUUAAACGUUAGCAUUAUUUCUGUUUUCUAUGGUAAAUAAAAUCAAAUAAAGCAAGUUCAAGAACUCAGGAGUUUUCUUCACAAAACUUUUGACCAUCAGGGUUUCUCUCUUUGUUCUUCCUCCUGUCAGUAAAAUGCAGCCUGAAGAUUCUGGUCAUUAUGGCCAGUGUACCUCUGGUGAGGGUGACCAUGAUGACACCACAGACUUUUGUGCUUAUGUUAUCGCCUCUAGACCUGAAAUGAGAUACAUCUCAGAACCCCCUGAAAUACAGUACAUACAGACUUGGCUAAUGCUGCACUGUGGAGACCUCCAUUUGCCUGACAGUAAUUCCUGGAGGGUGAAGAGUGAUGAUUUUCUACCUAAAACCUAUGGAGAUCAGUACGUGACUUCAGAGGUGUCUGCAAAAGGAAGCUUGAAAGAAGUUUAUAUGUUACACUGUACUUUAUGUGAAAUUUGGCAUUUAUAGGUCAAAACCAGUAAUGCCACCAGUGUACAACUGUAAAAUGGCUUAUGCUUUGUCUCUAAGUGGUAAUUUAAGACACAGGGUUGGCAAUGCCUUUUUUCAAAAAAGCUUUUUUGAUUACCAUGAAAACCUGCUGCAAUUUUGCUGUUAUUGAGACAAUAGCCAGAUUAAAUGUUGAUUGUAAACUUAUUUCCCUCUCUGUGUUACUGCACUAAAUGCAUCUGGUGAAAUGAAAUUAAAUGGUUUUGUAAC